GACCGUGCGAAGGUAGCAUAAUCCUUAGUUUUUUAAUUGAAGGCUAGAAUGAAUGGUUGGACAAGAAAUAAUCUGUCUUAAAUUAAUAUAUUGAAUUUAACUUUUAAGUGAAAAGGCUUAAAUAAUCUGAAGGGACGAUAAGACCCUAUAAAACUUUAUAUUGAAAAGUGAUAGGUAUAUUUUGUUUAAAGAAUUAUUACUUUAAAGUAUUUGGUUGGGGUGACAAAAAUAGAAGAUAAAGUAACUGUUUUUUUUUUAUACAAUAAUGUUUGGGUUAGUGAUCCUAAAAUGGAUUAAAGAUUAAGUUACUUUAGGGAUAACAGCGUAAUUUUCUUUAAGAGUUCUUAUCGAUAAGAAAGUUUGCGACCUCGAUGUUGAAUUAAAGGUUCUUUAUGGAGUAGGGACUAUAAAAGAAGGUCUGUUCGACCUUUAAAACUUUACAUGAUUUGAGUUCAGACCGGUGUGAGCCAGGUUGGUUUCUAUC
rnacentral:rRNA from 1 species